rnacentral:misc_RNA from 1 species
AACGCAUAUUGCGCUCUCUGGUAUUCCGGAGAGCAUGCUUGUUUAAGUAUCAGUAAACACCUCAACUUCCAUAUCUUUUUUGAAAUGGGAGUUGGACUUGAGUGAUCCCAACGCUUUUCCUCACCGAAAAGUGGCGGGUUACUUGAAAUGCAGGUGCAGCUGGACUUUUCUCUGAGCUAUAAGCAUAUCUAUUUAGUCUGCCUAAAAAACAGAUUAUUACCUUUGCUGCAGCUAACAUAAAGGAGAUUAGUUCUUGUGCUGACUGAUGCAGGAUUCACAAAGACAGGCUUCGGCCGACUUUGUAAACUCGAUCUCAAAUCAAGUAAGACUACCCGCUGAACUUAA